GCACAGGCAUUAGGAGAGUCGGUGGGUUGGCCCCUAUUGUAUGGGUAAAGAGUAAAUAACUGAUGUAGGGUUACGCAGCUGCUACCAAUUAACACGUAAAAGGCCUGUCUUCUUCCAAAGCCAUACCUCUGCAAGAAGAAUCGGCUGCUAGCUUUCUCACAAUUUGGGGAGCCUCAUCUACUCAUUUCCAAUCUCAGAUCCUCAGAUCCCCUGGCUGCAGAUAAUGUUUAAAUUGAGGUCGCGGGUGCCCAGUCGUCUCUCAACACAUGCCAUGGCUCUUAUUCCCUGAAGGUCAGGAGGGUAAGAACCCCAUUUUCUGUACCGUAUCAUCAGAAUCCCUGCAGAUCUGCUUUCCAGGGCACAAUGAUAAAUACCACCUAAGAUAUCAUCCUUAGGAAUCAAGCGUCAAAAUUUCAAAAAACAAAUAUAGUAUUUGCAAUGAAAUUCCUGGUGUAAUCACGUGGUGAACUCCUUGUAGUUUAUAAAGGGCUGUGGGAGGGAGGCAAUUGGACGAAGUCAGCGUCACAGGGGCUAGUUUUUUCUCACAUGAUGUGUGUGGUUCAGGUGAAAAGCUUAAGAGGACAAAAUGGUGUUUUGGGGCAAUAAUGGCUCUGUUUCCUGUCCAGCAACAGACGCAUUGAUCCAAGCGAAUCACAUAGAUUUUACAUUGCAAGAAGAAGCCGCAAGCUCGGACAUAAGCUUGUGUUUCUUCAACAUGGGAGAAGCCAGUGUUUCACCUUAUUUGUCUUCGCCUGGUUUACAAACAGCGGACACGGUUUCUGACCAAAUGCAUUAUUCCUGAUCACAGGCAUGCAGAAGGCGAUCAUAGCCAUAAAAUUUGGAAGAAUACCCCUGCAAGGAGGGUAAGGAAGACAACCAUUUUUUGAAGAUUUUGGGGCAAAGGAGAGACACUUCUAUGGUAGAUUGUAGUGCUCUUGGUCGUGAUAUUUGUUUUGUUCUUGCAAAGCUUCUUUGAUAGUGCUUAGGAGCAUGGGUUCAAGCAUUGGAAUUGAACUUGGAUAGGUUAAGAAGAAACUCAACACAAAUUUAUACUACUCAUUUAUAAAGUCUAAAACCCCUUUGGCUCAAUCCAACAAUAGUUUCUUUGCUCUGUGGUGCUGUAGAAAUUCCCUGAAGAAACCUCACAACCAAAAUAGUGAUGCAUUUUUUAUUCCAGAGGAUAGAAAACAAUGCUUUGAGUCUGGCCAUAAAAUCUUAGAAACUAGAUUUUGUUCUCCUUUCCCAAGAUUCUAGCUUCAGCAAACACGAAUGACCAAUUGCUGAUGAAUAUCAUAAGGUUGCUCAAGCUUUCGAUCUUCAUGCAAACCAUUGCAGUGCAAUUUAACUUGGAAGACUUUCACCUAUUGUCCCAAAUGACCUACAAAAAUUGACAAGAACUCUCCAUCACAUUCCAAUGCCUUAACCAUAUGGAGUAUGAUGGAGAGCUCUUGUCAAAUUUUUUAGGUCAUUUGGGGGAAUGGGUGAAAUUAUUUCAAGUUAAAUUGCCUUGCCAUGGUUUGCGUGAAGAUUGAAAGCUUAAGCAGCCAUAUGGUAUUCGUUAGCAAUUGGUCAUUUGUUUUUGCUGUAGCUAGAAUCCUUGGAGUCGAGAACAAAAUAUACUUUCCUAGAUUUUAUGGAAAAACUCAAAACAUUGUUUUCUAUUAUUUAGAAUAAAAAAUGGUAUCACUCUCUUUGUUGUGAGGCGUCUUGGAAAAUUUCCACAACACUGUAGAACAAAAAAGCUGUAAUUGGAUUGAGUCAAAGGGUUCAAGAUUUCGCCAAUGAAGAGUGUCGAUGUCUUAUUAGCUUGUUGACCAACUACUCUUUAUUAUUUGCUUUUUUGUUUUUCCCUAUGUAAUUUAUUGAACAGAUCAGUUCCUUACAAUGGAUGUAAUUCUUUUCUCUAGCACAUUUCGAGUAUGGAG